GAUGAACGCUGGCGGCGUGCCUAAUACAUGCAAGUCGAGCGAAGCGGGGACGGGUGAGUAACACGUGGAUAACUUCCUAUAAGACUGGGUUAAUUCCGGGAAACCUGAGCUAUCCCCGUUACUUAUAGCUGGAUCCGCGCUGCAUUAGUUAGUUGGUAAGGUAACGGCUUACCAAGGCAACGAUGCAUAGCCGGCCUGAGAGGGUGAUCGGCCACACUGGAACUGAGACACGGUCCAGACUCCUACGGGAGGCAGCAGUGGGGAAUCUUGCGCAAUGGGCGAAAGCCUGACGCAGCCACGCCGCGUGUGUGAUGAAGGUCUUCGGAUCGUAAAACUCUGUUAGUAGGGAGGCGGUACCUAAUCAGAAAGCCACGGCUAACUACGUGCCAGCAGCCGCGGUAAUUC
rnacentral:rRNA from 1 species